rnacentral:rRNA from 1 species
UUGAAAGGGAAACGAUUGAAGUCAGUCGUACCGGCGGGUAAUCAGCCUUUUGGGUGUGAUUAUGUGGAGCGUGAAGAGUUUAAUCACCUUCAUCUUUGCAUAUUCGUGCACUUUGGGUGUACUUGCUCGUGUGGUAGGUUAACGUCAAUUUUGAUCAUCAUAAAAUGAUUGGAGGAAUGUAGCUUCGAUCUUGUAUUGAAGUGUUAUAGCCUUCGGUAGAUGUGAUGAUCGGGAUUGAGGACUGCAACGGAUACCUUUCGGGGCUACCUGUCUGAUCUCUGAAAGUUGCUCUGGUGCUGAAAGCUUGCUUAUGGUAUCAAAGUUGACGUUCAAUAGGUUAGAAUGGGAUAAAUUCGUUAAGGAUGUUGACGUA